rnacentral:rRNA from 1 species
AGUGAACGCUGGCGGUAGGCCUAACACAUGCAAGUCGAACGGCAGCACAGGAGAGCUUGCUCUCUGGGUGGCGAGUGGCGGACGGGUGAGGAAUACAUCGGAAUCUGCCCAGUCGUGGGGGAUAACGUAGGGAAACUUACGCUAAUACCGCAUACGACCUUCGGGUGAAAGAGGGGGAUCGCAAGACCUCUCGCGAUUGGAUGAGCCGAUGUCGGAUUAGCUAGUUGGCGGGGUAAUGGCCCACCAAGGCGACGAUCCGUAGCUGGUCUGAGAGGAUGAUCAGCCACACUGGAACUGAGACACGGUCCAGACUCCUAAGGGAGGCAGCAGUGGGGAAUAUUGGACAAUGGGCGCAAGCCUGAUCCAGCCAUACCGCGUGGGUGAAGAAGGCCUUCGGGUUGUAAAGCCCUUUUGUUGGGAAAGAAAUCUUUCAGGCUAAUACCCUGGGAGGAUGACGGUACCCAAAGAAUAAGCACCGGCUAACUUCGUG